GUCCAGACUCCUACGGGAGGCAGCAGUGGGGGAUAUUGCACAAUGGGGGGAACCCUGAUGCAGCGACGCCGCGUGGGUGAAGGAGCGUUUCGGCGCGUAAAGCCCUAUCGGCAGGGAAGAAGGAGGACGGUACCUGACUAAGAAGCCCCGGCUAACUACGUGCCAGCAGCCGCGGGAAUACGUAGGGGGCAAGCGUUAUCCGGAUUUACUGGGUGUAAAGGGGGCGCAGACGGCAGCGCAAGCCAGGAGUGAAAGCCCGGGGCCCAACCCCGGGACUGCUCUUGGAACUGCGCGGCUGGAGUGCAGGAGGGGCAGGCGGAAUUCCUGGUGUAGCGGUGAAAUGCGUAGAUAUUAGGAGGAACACCAGUGGCGAAGGCGGCUUACUGGACGGCAACUGACGCUGAGGCUCGAAAGCGUGGGGAGCAAACAGGAUUAGAUACCCGCGUAC
rnacentral:rRNA from 1 species